rnacentral:rRNA from 2 species
CACGCCGCGUGAGUGAUGAAGGUUUUCGGAUCGUAAAGCUCUGUUGUUAGGGAAGAACAAGUGCCGUUCAAAUAGGGCGGCACCUUGACGGUACCUAACCAGAAAGCCACGGCUAACUACGUGCCAGCAGCCGCGGUAAUACGUAGGUGGCAAGCGUUGUCCGGAAUUAUUGGGCGUAAAGGGCUCGCAGGCGGUUUCUUAAGUCUGAUGUGAAAGCCCCCGGCUCAACCGGGGAGGGUCAUUGGAAACUGGGGAACUUGAGUGCAGAAGAGGAGAGUGGAAUUCCACGUGUAGCGGUGAAAUGCGUAGAGAUGUGGAGGAACACCAGUGGCGAAGGCGACUCUCUGGUCUGUAACUGACGCUGAGGAGCGAAAGCGUGGGGAGCGAACAGGAUUAGAUACCCUGGUAGUCCACGCCGUAAACGAUGAGUGCUAAGUGUUAGGGGGUUUCCGCCCCUUAGUGCUGCAGCUAACGCAUUAAGCACUCCGCCUGGGGAGUACGGUCGCAAGACUGAAACUCAAAGGAAUUGACGGGGGCCCGCACAAGCGGUGGAGCAUGUGGUUUAAUUCGAAGCAACGCGAAGAACCUUACCAGGUCUUGACAUCCUCUGACAAUCCUAGAGAUAGGACGUCCCCUUCGGGGGCAGAGUGACAGGUGGUGCAUGGUUGUCGUCAGCUCGUGUCGUGAGAUGUUGGGUUAAGUCCCGCAACGAGCGCAACCCUUGAUCUUAGUUGCCAGCAUUCAGUUGGGCACUCUAAGGUGACUGCCGGUGACAAACCGGAGGAAGGUGGGGAUGACGUCAAAUCAUCAUGCCCCUUAUGACCUG